rnacentral:rRNA from 1 species
GACGAACGCUGGCGGCGUGCCCAAUACAUGCAAGUUGAGCGCUGAAGGUUGGUACUUGUACCAACUGGAUGAGCAGCGAACGGGUGAGUAACGCGUGGGGAAUCUGCCUUUGAGCGGGGGACAACAUUUGGAAACGAAUGCUAAUACCGCAUAAAAACUUUAAACACAAGUUUUAAGUUUGAAAGAUGCAAUUGCAUCACUCAAAGAUGAUCCCGCGUUGUAUUAGCUAGUUGGUGAGGUAAAGGCUCACCAAGGCGAUGAUACAUAGCCGACCUGAGAGGGUGAUCGGCCACAUUGGGACUGAGACACGGCCCAAACUCCUACGGGAGGCAGCAGUAGGGAAUCUUCGGCAAUGGACGAAAGUCUGACCGAGCAACGCCGCGUGAGUGAAGAAGGGUUUCGGAUCGUAAAACUCUGUUGGUAGAGAAGAACGUUGGUGAGAGUGGAAAGCUCAUCAAGUGACGGUAACUACCCAGAAAGGGACGGCUAACUACGUG